GGGUUGUGAGGUUAAGCGACUAAGCGUACACGGUGGAUGCCCUGGCAGUCAGAGGCGAUGAAGGACGUGCUAAUCUGCGAUAAGCGCCGGUAAGGUGAUAUGAACCGUUAUAACCGGCGAUUUCCGAAUGGGGAAACCCAGUGUGAUUCGUCACACUAUCAUUAACUGAAUCCAUAGGUUAAUGAGGCGAACCGGGGGAACUGAAACAUCUAAGUA
rnacentral:rRNA from 3 species